rnacentral:tRNA from 2 species
UGGGAAUAUAGCUCAGCCAGGAGAGCACAUGACUGUUAAUCAUGUUGUCGAAGGUUCAAGUCCUUCUGUUCCCGU